ACAUCAGGUGUGUGUUUCUCCUACUGU
rnacentral:piRNA from 1 species